rnacentral:rRNA from 1 species
AUGAGUAAUGCAACUUUCUCUAUAUGCUCUUGGAAUGUACGUGGUCUUGGGGACCAAGAGAAAUGCUCAGACGUCCUCUCGGAACUAAUCUCUAUAAAUCCACACAUCGCCUUACUCCAAGAAUCCAAACUCGACACUCUACCGGACCCAAAAUUACGCUCAUUCAUGCCCCGCCAGCUAGAUCAAGUCUUUUCCCUACCUGCUAUAGGCACGGCGGGCGGCACCAUCUCUGCAAUUAACACUACCUUGUUCCAAGUAAUCUCCUUCUCUCACCUCUCCUUCUCCUCAACUCUGUCACUGUGAUCAACGAUAACUGACAAAACUAUCGCCAUCACUAACAUCUACGCCCCCACCUCCCACACCCUCAAGCAACAAUUCCUUGAUGAGCUCCUAGCUAUCGUUCAACCCGAUGACUCACCUUGGCUACUAAUCGGUGAUUUGAACCUCCUCCGUUUCCCUACAGAUAAAAACAACGACGCUUUCCGACAAACAGAGGCCAACGCUUUCAACCAAACAAUCGAUACUCUUGCCCUCAUCGAGCUACCUCUUCUUGACCGCCAAUUCACCUGGUCCAACAACAGAACCACACCCACCCUAGAACGCAUUGACCGUGCCUUUGUUAAUUUGGCCCGGGCUGAUACUUUCCCCAACUCCUCACUCACAUCCCUCACUUGAUUCACGUCUGACCAUGUCCCCCUCAUCAUCCACGUCAACACAACAAUCCCGCGCUCAAACUUUUUUAAAUUUGAAUCUGCUUGGGCCAAAUUACAGCCUUGCAAAGAUAUCAUCUCCUCGGUAUGGUCCUCCCCCCGGCCCAAUCACCAGCCUAACUCUGCCGCCUCCCUCGCCUCCCUGCUCAAGCAAACCCGGGUUGCGCUUAAAAAAUGGGCCCGUUCGCGCCCCCACCUCCCCUCCGUGAAUCCCGAUGCAAAACAGCCAUCUCCGCACUUGACCACGUCGAAGAAUCUAGGCCCCUCUCCCCACCAGAGCACCUCACACGUAAGAUCAUCGUUUCUCUCCUCAAAAGCGCCAUCCUAG